CUUAUCAAGAGCGGCGGAGGGAACGGCCCGAUGAUGCCCGGCAACCGGCGGAUGUCCGUGCGGUGCCAAUUCCGGCGGUACGUUGUACCGGCAGAUAAG
rnacentral:ncRNA from 1 species